rnacentral:lncRNA from 1 species
GUGUGUGCCGGCAGGAAAAAAGUUCCUUCAGGAGGCCCUUACCAUGGCCGAGUCCCCUGGCUGCUGCUUUGUCUGGGCCCGCUGCUUCCACUGCCUGUACAGCUGCCACUGGAAGAAAUGCCCCAAAGAUGGGAUGCAAACCAACAAGUGCGAAUGCGUCUGGUUCGGCUUGCUCUUCCUCACCUUCCUCCUGUCCCUGGGCUGGCUGUACGUCGUGCUCAUCCUUCUCAAUGACCUGCACAACUUCAAUGAAUUCCUAUUCCAGCACUGGGGGCACUGGAUGGACUGGUCCCCAGCAUUCCUGCUGGUCAUCUCUCUGCUGGUCACAUACGCAUCCCUGCUCUUGCUCCUGGCCCUGCUCCUGCGGCUCUGUGGCCAGCCUCUAUGUCUGCACACCGUCCACAAGGUGCUGCUGCUCCUCAUCAUAUUUCUUGUGGCUGCUGGCCUUGUGGGACUGGAGGUCCAGUGGCGGGAGGAGUGGCAUAGCUUACGUCUGUCACUGCAGGCCACAGCCCCAUUCCUUCACAUUGGAGCAGCUGCUGGCAUCACCCUCCUGGCCUGGCCUGUGGCUGAUACCUUCUACCAUAUCCAUCGAAGAGGUCCCAAGAUCCUGCUACUGCUCCUAUAUUUUGGAGCCACCCUGGGCAUCUACCUGGCGCCCCUAUUCAUCUCCUCAGCCUGUAUCAUGGAACCCAAAGACCUACCACACAAGCCUAAGUUGAUAGGACACCGAGGGGCCCCCAUGCUGGCCCCCGAGAACACACUGAUGUCCCUGCGGAAGACAGCUGAAUGUGGAGCUGUUGUGUUUGAGACCGACGUGAUGGUCAGCUCCGAUGGGAUCCCCUUUCUCAUGCAUGAUGAGCGCCUGACCAGGACCACAGAUGUGGCCUCUGUGUUCCCAGACCGAGUCAACAGCCACAGCAGUAACUUCUCCUGGGCUGAACUGAAGAGGCUCAAUGCUGGGGCCUGGUUCCUUCAGAGGCAACCUUUCUGGGGGGCUAAGCAGCUGUCAGGCCAUGAUCGAGAAGAUGCUGAGAAUCAAACAGUGCCAUCCUUGGAAGAGAUACUGAAGGAAGCUGCAGGCCUCAACCUUUCUAUCAUAUUUGACCUGCGCCGCCCCCCAGGAAACCACACGUAUCAUGACAGUUUUGUCAACCAGACAUUGGAGACUGUGCUGAGUUCAGGAGUGCCCCAAGCCAUGGUCCUUUGGCUACCGGAUGAAGAUCGGGCUUAUGUCCAAGAAAGAGCCCCCCAAAUGCGCCAGAUAUAUGGACAUCUGGAAGGCCAUGGCACUGAGAAUCCCCAGUUUCUCAACCUCCCCUAUCAAGACCUGCCACUGUUGGAUAUCAAGGCACUGCACCAUGAUAAUGUCUCGGUGAACCUAUUUGUAGUGAACAAGCCCUGGCUCUUCUCCCUACUCUGGUGUGCAGGGGUGGAUUCAGUCACCACCAACGACUGCCAGCUGCUGCAGCAGAUGCGUUACCCUGUCUGGCUUAUUGUAAGAGCUCAGGGACUGUCACCCCUCCUCCUCUUUUCCUAUUCCUGCUUCUCCUUAACCCUAUUCCCCUCUUCCUUACUUAUUUCCCCCCAUACACCCCCUGAAUCUGUAUGUGGGUGGCUCUCGCCACUGACAGGGACCUUUUUCUUUUCUCACAGCCUGCUCGAACCUACCUGA